UACAGUAUUAUGAGUAUAGAAUUGGGCCAACUACACAUCCGAAAAACCAACGCUUAUGCGUAAAUCAGAGAACGCUGUGUACCGCAACCAUUUUUAUGUCCCAGUUUAACAAGUUGGCGUACAUCGUCAAUGCAGUGGUUCAAGUGUCGAUGGAGUAACCAGGCAGAUGCAAGUAUACGUUCAUCUUCAUUCAUUCAAUAGAUGAAGCGGUACACAGUUUAAAGACUUUUACCUUGAAUACAGGAAGGGUAUUUACCAUCUUAAAUCCAGCCAUCCUUGCUAUCAUCAGAUACAGGGGCAGCUUUCGCGCAAUAUGAAUUGUUGCAUCUCGAUUGUUUGGACUACAGCCGACUGCAUGCAACAUUAUCUGGAUCAUGAAGGACUCUUAGUGAACAAAGAACAUUGCAAAGUGAUAGAAUUUUAUUUUUGCAACUUGAUCAUUUGGACUGCGGAAUUAUCCGAUAUCAUAAAGAACUCUAAUUGGACACAUAACAUCAACAGAAAUUUACUUUCAAUAUUUUUUUUUAUUCCUGAAUGAAUUCAAAAUCUACAUGUAUCAAUAAAAUAUACUUCGUAAAACAAUAACAAUAAGUGGCGCAUUUAUUAUUUAUAUUAAACACAUAAGUUUUAUUUUAUUCAUGCAGGAUUUUCAAAAUAAUAAUAAUUGAAUAAAAUAAUAUGAAAAUUAAAAUAAAAAAGCAC